AUACGGGGGGGACGAGCGUUGUUCGGAUUCACUGGGCGUAAAGAGCACGUAGGCGGUUUGGUAAGUUAGGUGUGAAAUCUCUGGGCUCAACCCAGAAACUGCGCUUAAUACUGCUAAACUAGAGAGAUAUAGGGGGUUGCGGAACUCACGGUGGAGCGGUGAAAUGCGUAGAGAUCGUGGGGAACACCUGUGGCGAAGGCGGCAACCUGGAUAUUUUCUGACGCUGAGGUGCGAAAGCGUGGGUAUCGAACAGGAUUAGAAACCCCAGUAGUCC
rnacentral:rRNA from 1 species